rnacentral:rRNA from 1 species
GAUGAACGCUGGCGGCGUGCCUAAUACAUGCAAGUCGAGCGAACAGACGAGGAGCUUGCUCCUUUGACGUUAGCGGCGGACGGGUGAGUAACACGUAGGUAACCUACCUAUAAGACUGGGAUAACUUCGGGAAACCGGAGCUAAUACCGGAUAAUAUUUCGAACCGCAUGGUUCGAUAGUGAAAGAUGGCUUUGCUAUCACUUAUAGAUGGACCUGCGCCGUAUUAGCUAGUUGGUAAGGUAACGGCUUACCAAGGCAACGAUACGUAGCCGACCUGAGAGGGUGAUCGGCCACACUGGAACUGAGACACGGUCCAGACUCCUACGGGAGGCAGCAGUAGGGAAUCUUCCGCAAUGGGCGAAAGCCUGACGGAGCAACGCCGCGUGAGUGAUGAAGGUCUUCGGAUCGUAAAACUCUGUUAUUAGGGAAGAACAAACGUGUAAGUAACUGUGCACGUCUUGACGGUACCCAAUCAGAAAGCCACGGCUAACUACGUG